UUGUGAUUUUUGUUGGCAGACAUCUGCUAUAUUUUUGUAAGAAGUGGAAGUUGCUUCUGUUUGAAAUGGGUUUGGCAAUUUGUGGGUGUUUAUUAUAGGUUGUUAAACCUUCAGCACAUUCGUUCCAUGUGUGAAGUUCCUUAAUCGCAUGCACUGGAAUGAACUUUCACCAUUUAUAGCUUCAAAUAACAUAGUAACUGUUUGUGAAAUUGAUGUUUAAGAGCCUGUUUGGUAGCACUCCACUUCACCUAAACUCCACUUACCUCUAAAAUUCACUUCACUUCAGCUCCACUCCACUAAAAAAUGUGUUUUGGACUCAAAUCAGCUCCAGCACAUUUUCCUUGUUGCUGUUCCUACCAUGAUGGAUGGAUCUCAUACGAGAUUGCUUCACGUGAUGGUGAUUGGAAAGAGGAAUAGGAGAAGAACGCCUGCUGCCUUCUGCCCUUCUGGUUCCAGGCGCAAUCGACGGAGAAGAGCAAUUAGAGAAAAAGGGUCUUGCUUCCGAGGCAGCAAGGACCUUCAGGGACAGUAGUGGCGAGGUGCUGGUGGAGGGGGUGACGGCUUGGCGGCGCUGCAGUCCAGAGAAGCAGCGGCGACUCCCCGUGGCGGCCGCGAAUCGAGGCAGGCUCGCGGGGGAUCGAGGGCGGGCUCGCGGGAGACCAAGGGCGUGCUCGCCGGAGAUGGAGGGAGGCGGGAGCGCCGGAGAUGGAGUGUGGUCGGCUCUGCUAGGGCUGUAGAUGAGCCGCCAUGGCUCCGCCCAUCUCUGUUCUGCCCGAGACCUGUCGAUAGGAGGGAGAUGAGGGGACUGGGUUCACGGGAUAGAGAGCAUAACGGUUUGGUUCACUAAUGGCAUUGGUGGGUAAUUUACUCCAAGUUUAGGUGAAGUGAAGUAGGUGAAGCACCUCUUUCCUGACUCCAGUAAAAUGAACUAGAGAGUAUACUGCUCCACUUCAUCUAACACAUGGAGUUUAGAGUGUUUGGGGCAACUUCACUGGCUUCACUGAUGAAGCUGUGAAGUGGAGCUGUACCAAAUAGGCUCUAAGUUCAAGAAAAGGAGUAUCAAGAUAAAUCUGUCAUA